GAGCAAGAGCGUCGAAAAUGGCGAAAUUUGCAUUGAAGGUUGGCAAUAUCAAUAAAAAUAGCAAUUCUCCGUGCCUAUCAAAUUUCUCAUUUUCAUUUUGAUUAUGGCCUCGAACAAAUUGCUAAAUU
rnacentral:snoRNA from 1 species